UACGGAGGGCGCGAGCGUUGUCCGGAAUCACUGGGCGUAAAGGGCGCGUAGGCGGCUCGAUAAGGCUUGCGUGAAAGUCCGGGGCUCAACCCCGGAUCGGCGCGGGCGACUGUUGGGCUGGAGCACGGUAGGGGCAGACGGAAUUCCGGGUGUAGCGGUGGAAUGCGUAGAGAUCCGGAAGAACACCGGUGGCGAAGGCGGUCUGCUGGGCCGGAAGAGGGGAGAGCAAUCUCUCCUUGUGCUGACGCUGAGGCGCGACAGCGUGGGGAGCAAACAGG
rnacentral:rRNA from 1 species